CUAUACUUGGCUGAGCAUGAGGGCUGGCUUCUGGCUGACAUGGCUGCUAUCUGGAAAAUCUUGGAAGUCCGCUGGCAGAGAAGCACACUGGAACUGAACUGGAUGAGGUAAACACAGCCAUCCUGUUGACGGAGAUGCCAGAGCUCCCUGUGCCUGCAGAUCGUUCAUUCUCUUGUGGGGGAAAACAUGUGCUGGUAUUUUUGAACGAUUCCUGAUAUCCUCUACAGAUAGAGAGUUGCAGCUUAGUACGCCUGGAAAUAAAUGUCUUAACUGCUCUGUGUUGUACUCUGUGUUGUACUCAGAGCUGUUUGGUUUUGCAUCUUAUUGAUGUAGGCUUUUGGAAAGUGCAAAUGGUUCAAUGAAAAAAGAAGUGAAGUACCUUAAGUGAAAUUCUGGAAUUACAAUUUCUGGUGCACUGUCCAACAGUGUGUGAAUGUCUCAUAUGCUUGCCAUGUACACAUUUGAACUCCAUCGUAGGAAAAUUGUAACUCGCUUGUACUGCAUGAAAUUGAGAAUAUGCCAUAUGUGAACACCAAGGGCCCAGUGGGAGUUUUUGGGCUUUUAAUUGUGUUGGGCAGGGUCUUGUUCUCUGCAUCAGUGUCUCAGCUAUGUUGAAUAGGAAUAGUGUUAAUGAAUGACAGCAAUCUGAAAACUUCCCUUUUUAAGGGGUAAAUUUCACAUGCUAUUCCGCCACCCCACCCCAAAUCCCAUUACAUGGUGACUUGACCCAGCUAUUCCAGGUUUGAAAAAUCUUGUGGUCCUAACUCAAUGAGUCAAUUUAAUGGUUUAUUGAUUGCUGUCAUUCAGCAAUGAUUCCCAUCUUGCAGUUAUGAGUUAUCUCCAGACUGAAUCAGUGAACUCUAAUUAAAAAGACAUGUACAUUUCAUGUUUAUAUUGGAUAACCCACUGCCAGUCUUUAGUGCUGGGGGACAGCUGGUGUUAGCUGGCUGCCUAGCCAUUAUGUAAGUAAUGAUUUAUCAAGAAACUGGAAGUUUGUUGACUUUGCGAGGACCAGUUGUCUCUAGUGAGGUAGCUGCAUUUUGCCCCCAUGAGGUGAAAAAAACUGCUAGUUACCUGUGGCAGAAUCCUAAAGAUCAGCUGGUGCCAUGUUCAGGUUUUUGUGUGCUGUUCGAAUUCUCUCUGGUCUCUUUGCUGGCACUCUUCUCCUGUCCACAAAACCAAAAUAUCUGUGAGUGCCAGUCACCACGUUGUCCAUCUUCUGCUAGAUAAAUUGGUUUGGUUCAGAUUGUCAUUUGAGGAUUAAGUGAUCUUAGCAAAAACAAAAGGAGGAAAGGAUAGAAAGGAUCAGUGACCUCUUUGUCUGCCAAGGUGAUUAGAGGAUGUGACUUUUUUAGGGCUUCUAAUUAGUAAAUAUCCAGAGUUUACAUGACUAGAAUGUGGGUUUAUUUCUCCCUAAUUUCCCUCUAUCCACCAAAAUGUGUGGUUUUUUAAAUAUUUCCCCUGAUGCAUCUGUGGCUGCUAGUAUCAACAACCCAGAUCUUAGGUUUUUGUGGCUUACCUAGGCAUUUUAACAGUCUGUUUUAUAAUGAUGCCCUCUUAAUGCAUAGUAAUCCAAGAAAGGCCGUACAGGAACGUGAUAUACUUCAGCAUCCCAGCAUCAGAAUGGGAUGGGGGAUGACUGCAAGAAUUCCCUGGUUUCUAUCCACCCAGAAGGUGAUUGGGCCAGAUCCGGCCCCUGGGCCUUAGUUUGCCUACCCAUGGACUAGGACCUGGGAGACACUCAUCCAAGAGGUUCACCUUGGGCCAGUUUAACAUACUUUUUACAGUUUAACAUAGAGUUUAACAUACCUCAGCCUAACAUACUUCACAGAGUGGCUGUGACCAUAAAGUAGAGUGGGGGGGGGGACGAUGACCCUACCACCUUGAAGGUGGGAUAUAAAUGUAAUAAGUAAAUAAGCAGGGUGUAGGAAACGCUGCUUAAUUAUGGACUCCCAAUCUGCUCCUUCCCCCAUAAUUUCACAUAGGAAUGUGGAGAUGCCUUGAUCCCAUCCUCAUGUUGCAGUAUCUCAAGGGGUGGGACAAAGUUGCCCCCACAGCGGGCAAACAGGGAGGGAAAUCUUAAAGUCGUGAGUCUUUCUCCAGCACUUCUGGAAUUAACUUCCCUCUCUUCAUUCUUUCACCUACACGAGCCACACUUUCCACUUUAACUGACAUAAAUGAGGACUCACAGAGAGACAAAUCAACAGGCUCCGCAACUCAUGUGGAGAAAUCUUGGACAGGGUCACCUCUCCAUUACCAACAACGUCCUACGUGUCUUUUUGUACAUUUUGAUAAAUGUCAGAUGCCUGCCUUGCUGCAAGAAUUGUGGGCAGUCGGCAGUUAUGUAUUAAAACAGUUGCACAAGCCAAUUCUGUGUGGAUUCGCUGUGUUUGCAAAACAAGAUGCAGUGGCUUACUGUCAGCUGCUGACGCCUUUGACAAGAGCGUCCCUGUUAUCUGUAAAAUGUUGGAAGGUGUGGGUCCCACUUCAGAUGUUGCGAUCAUACAGCAGGCUUCCUCAACCUUGGCCCUCCAGAUGUUUUGAGACUACAGUUCCCAUCAUCCCUCACCACUGGUCCUGCUAGCUAGGGAUCAUGGGAGUUGUAGGCCACAAAUAUCUGGAGGGCCGAGGUUGAGGAAACCUGGUUUAAAGCCAUGCUAUGCAACAUGCAGGACGCGGGUGGCGCUGUGGUCUAAACCACUGAGCCUAGGGCUUGCCGAUUGGAAGGUCGGCGGUUUGAAUCCCCAUGACGGGGGUGAGCUCCUGUUGUUCGGUCCCAGCUCCUGCCAACCUAGUAGUUCGAAAGCACGUAAAGUGCAAGUAGAUAAAUAGGUACCACUCUGGUGGGAAGGUAAACGGCAUUUCCGUGCGCUGCUCUGGUUUUACCAGAAGCGGCUUAGUCAUGCUGGCCACAUGACCCAGAAAAACUGUUUGCAGACAAAUGUCGGCUCCCUCGGCCUGUAAAGCGAGAUGAACGCUGCAACCCCAGAGUCGGUCACUACUGGACCUAAUGUUCAGGGGUCCCUUUACCUUUAUGAUGAGGGUUGUUUUUUUUAGUGUGUUCUUUUUUGUUCUUGUUUUUAUUAUGUAUUUUGUGUUUUUGCAUUGUAUUUUUACUUUGCGAACCCCCCGAGAUCUACAGAUGAAGGGCGGUAUACAAAUUUAAUUAAUAAAUUAACAAAUACCAAUUCACAACUUUUUGUUUUAGUCCAAAUCAUUGACCACUGCUAUCAAUUGAAAAGGGACUGAAGGGGAUGUUGGAUAGCAAAUGCCAAGGAUCUGAGGUGUGGCUUAUUGUGGCCAUCUCACUGCAGUGGCUUAUAGAUCCUAUUUGAUCAUGGAAACAUUUCUUCACAUGACGUGUUCCAGGUGUGGUAGUCACACAGAAUGUUGACCUUACCCCAUGGAAAUUGGAAAAAAAACAACAGCACGUCACAAUACCUCCUUGUGGAUAAACAUAUAUUCAGUGGGAAAGGUGUUGUGGCUGUAUUUCUGGGAAUUUCCUCUGUCAUUGAUGCCUUUCUCAUUGGGAAACCUCCACUAAGCUUCUGAGGAAGUCCAGGGAUUCUCAGAACACAGUUCAAAGACCAGGUUGUGGGUAGAAUUCAGUGUUACACAAUGUGAACAUCUCAUAAGGACAAUACUCUGAGGUGUACAGUGGUUGGAUUUCUGAUGGUCAGCAUUUGAAGGCACAGGAGAACCUUGGGGGGGGGAGGGAGCUAGAGGGAGCAACUACAGUGGUACCUCGGGUUACAGACGCUUCAGGUUACAGACUCUGCUAACCCAGAAAUAGUACCUCGGGUUGAGAACUUUGCUUCAGGAUGAGAACAGAAAUCGCGCCGCCACAGUGCAGCGGCAGUGGGAAGCCCCAUUAGCUAAAGUGAAGAACAGUUUCAGGUUAAGAACGGACCUCCAGAAUGAAUUACGUUCUUAACCUGAGGUACCACUGUAUUGGCUGUUUACGCUUUAUCUGAUUAUUUUCCUUUUUAUUCAUUGCAACCUUUAACAGCAAGUCUUGUCAGUUGACUUGAGAAUCCCCUGCUCUUGUGCCUUUAACAACCAUACAAUCUGCAGAAAUAAAUUGGGAUGACUGGAUCCCCUGCUAAUGCUACCCAACGAACCAAUUGUCGCAGGCAAAAAAGCAGUGGCAGCCGCCCAAAGUUGGCAAUUCCAAUAAAGAGGCAAGAGUGUGGUUAGGAGAAAAGGAUGGGCAACCUUUAUUUCUAACCUUAAUUCGCUUAAUAGAUUAUAUAUUUAAGAGGCAUAUGUAAGGUUGCAUGUGAAUUCUUGCUCUUCUAAAUGAUGUGUGAUAUCUUAUUAAUGAGGUCCCUUUUUCUUCUUUUUUGUCCAAUUAGUUUAUCAUUUUUAAUGUCAAGCUUGCUUUGCCUGAUGAGAGAGAUUGUGGGCAUGGGCUUCUCAAAAUGUAAUCAAAUUCAGUUAAUACUGUACAACAUAUU